GCGGCGGUAGCUCAGUGGUAGAGCAGCGGGCUGCAGUCACCAAACUCGUGGUUCCUGAAGGUCACCAGUUCAAUUCUGGUUCGCCGCU
rfam:Paraphaeosphaeria sporulosa strain AP3s5-JAC2a unplaced genomic scaffold CC84scaffold_6, whole genome shotgun sequence.